AAGUCGUAACAAGGUAACCGUAGGUGAACCUGCGGUUGGAUCAUUAGAAAACAAAAUUCGUGUUAUUGCAUGGUCAUGAAUUUGGCCGUGCUCUAACCUCCAUGGUCGAGAAUCUUUCAGACAUGUCAUGCAGCUUUAAUGUCGUUUGUUAGCCCACCUGAAAACAUGGUGGGGGUAAUCAUAUCGCCGCAUUCCUGCGAACCUCUGUCUCUUUUCUCCCAUGGGCCACAAAAAAAAUGUGGGAACUCCUAUGUGCAACGUCUGGGUUUUGCUUGGAAGCAUGUUAUGUGCGGAAGGGCAUUUCCCAUUCCACUUUUUUUUUGACUGAUUUUUUUUUUUGUAUUUAAUCAUACAAACAACUUUUGGCAACGGAUCUCUUGGCUCUC
rnacentral:misc_RNA from 1 species